CCCUUAGAUGUUCUGGGCUGCACACGUGCUACACUGGCAGGUUCAGCGAGCUUCAUGCCCUGAUCUGAAAGGAAUGGGAAAUCUUUUCAAAACCUGCCGUGCUUGGGAUAGAUGUUUGCAAUUAUUCAUCUUCAACGAGGAUUGCCUUGUAAGCGCACGUCAUCAGCGUGCAUUGAAUACGACCCUGUAUUCUGUACACACCGCCCGUCGCUCCUACCGAUUGAAGUUUUCGGUGAGUUGACAGGAGGAUUUUUUUGAAACUGGUUCGCCAGUGGAUUUUAGAUCCAAAUGCCAACGAAUCGAUGGCUUUAAAGGAAGGAGAAGUCGUAACA
rnacentral:rRNA from 1 species